UACAUGGGGUGCAAACGUUGCUCGGAAUUAUUGGGCGUAAAGCGCACGUAGGCGGUUUGUUAAGUCGGAUGUGAAAUCCCUCGGCUCAACUGAGGAAGUGCAUCCGAAACUGGCAAGCUUGAGUACGAAAGAGGGUCGCGGAAUUCCCGGUGUAGAGGUGAAAUUCGUAGAUAUCGGGAGGAACACCAGUGGCGAAGGCGGCAUCCUGGACCGAGAUUGACGCUGAGGCGCGAAAGCUAGGGGAGCAAACGGG
rnacentral:rRNA from 1 species